GUAAGAGAUGCAAAUGAUACGCUCUUACCAGGGUAAGAACUUUGUAACUGGACAAGAAUUUUAUCUGUCCUCGUGGAAGAACGAAUAUGAUCCAGCUCCAGGGGAAUAUACGUAUCAUUGUGAUCCUACUGGAUAUCCUCAGGAUGUCAUGAGGAAAGGUAAAGUUAAGGGGUACAGUACUGGACCAUGGAAUGGACUCCGCUGAAGUGGUGUACCAGGACUAAUACUAUUUCCACAUUAAAGCUGGAUCACACACUAUUAUCUGUUUAAUGUGUGAUGCAGUGGCUACAUGUCCCCAGAGUAUGUAGUCCAUGGUGUUUUCUCAGUAAAAUCAGAUGUAUUUAGCUUUGGUGUGUUAGUGCUACAGAUAACCAGUGGUCCGAGAAACAGAGGAUUUGCCGGUGAAAGUCAGAGUAUCAACCUACUCGGACAUGUAUGAAAACUUUAUAAAAGAAGGUAGAGCAUUGGAGCUAAUUGAUGGGCAUCUAAUGGAUUCACGUUAUAUUUCUGAAUUGCUACGCUUAAUGCAUGUCGCUCUGUUAUGUGUACAACAAUGUCCAGAAGACAGGCCAGAUAUGCCUACAGUGAUCUUGAUGUUGACUAAUGAUGCCAUUUUGCCUCAAGCUAAAGAACCUGGUUUCUUCACAGAAAGAAAAGUCACAUCUGAAUGCUCUACAAGCAUGAGUUCAACAAACGAAAUUACUGUCACACAGUUAGAACCCCCGUAAAUUACAUUACAUGUUCAUUCAGAUCGUUCAAUGUCAACAAGCUUGUAUUACAGUGUUUUGUGCUGUAAAGCCAUAAUGACCUACGUCAUAUGGUAUCUAUUAUUAGUAAGUCUUCAACAUGGGUGUGUAUCAGUAUUUACUGUGACACCUAUAAUAUUUAUUAAUUCUAAUGUA